GUUAUCAGCAUGGAAGAACACAGGGAUGAUUCUCUUCACCUUGCUGAGGCAUCUUCUAGGGAACAUACUUCAGACAACCAGACUAGUGAGACAUUGACAUAACAGGAGGCCACACGUACUCACUGAAUGCUGGAAUUACAGGAAUUUUUAGAAGGAGAGAUUCAAUAGCGAAGGCUUCAUGGAAGACAUGGCAAUUCCAUGUCCAGUUUAAGCAACUCUGACAGUAGCAACUUCACUCUGAUUUUCAUGCCUGGGACCCAGCACAGUCCACUCAACCUGUGCUCAUUAGGCUUCAGCAAUAUGUGAACCGUGAACUUCCUGAUGUUCAAGCUGGUUUUAGAAAAGGCAGAGGAACCAGAGAUCAAAUUGCCAACAUCUGCUGGAUCAUCGAAAAAGCAAAAGAGUUCCAGAAAAACAUCAAUUUCUGCUUUAUUGACUAUGCCAAAGCCUUUGACUGUGUGGAUCACAAUAAACUGUGGAAAAUUCUGAAAGAGACAGGAAUACCAGACCACCUGACC
ensembl:lncRNA